UACGGAGGUUGCAAGCGUUGUUCGGAAUGACUGGGCGUAAAGGGAGCGCAGCCGGCUCGAUUAGUCUGGAGUGAAAGCCCGGGGCUCAACCCCGGAGGGUCUUCGGAUACUGUCGAGCUCGAGUACGGAAGAGGAGAGUGGAAUUCCAGGUGUAGCGGUGAAAUGCGUAGAUAUCUGGAGGAACACCGGUGGCGAAAGCGGCUCUCUGGUCCGAUACUGACGGUCAGGCUCGAAAGCGUGGGGAGCAAACGGG
rnacentral:rRNA from 1 species